GUCAGAAUUUAAAAGGGGAAAAUCGGAUGGACCAAGUAAUUAGAGGCCUGUUAACCUGAGAUUGAUCAUUAGCAAGAUAAUGAGUGACUGACAUGGAAAUUGGAAGGGAAAGCAAUACGCCUUCUCAUGGAAGUUUUUCUAGGGUCUGCAAUUCAAGAAGGAUGUUCAUAAAUUGGAGAGGAUUCAGAGAAGAGCCAUGAGAAAGAUUAAAUGACUAAACCAACUUCACAGUGGUAGACUCAAGAUCACACCCUCUGCUGAUGCUUCAAACAAUGAAGAGGCCACAGUGCUGAUGACCGAUUAGCAAGAGACAAUGAUUUGUAAAAGAGCUUAACCUUCCUGGGAACAUGAGGGUCAGCUCAUGAAGAAGGCUACAGAGACAUGUGACAAUGUCACUUGAUAGUGGAACUCAUCUUGAUUGCUGUAAUUUUCCAUAAGAAGCUGAGAGGGGUCACACUUGAAACAAAGGACUUCCGCUUCAUGCAAAUCCUAUUUAAAGGUGGAAAUGAGGUAAUCCUGUUCGUCAGUUCGCCAGGGGCACCCCACCCAAGAGGACUGUGGGAAACAACUAAGACUGAAUUGGGGGGAGGAACUGGACCCUGGCUGUGAAGUUUAUUAGGGUGAAAUCUUACAUGUAUCUAUUUUUUCAGUGUAGCAAGCUUAGCUUAUGUGUUUGUUUAUUUUGUUCAUUUACUUACUUUGUUGAGUCUGCUACCUCUUAUGACCACUUACAUUCUAUCUUUCCAUACUUCAUAAAAUUACUUCGCUUAGUAAUAAA